GAAGGCCCAAAUAUGCAAAGGGUGGCCGGCCAUGGUAAUUAAAAUGGCCCAAGCCCACAAUAAAUUUAACUCAUGUAUUAAUAAGAAGAUGAUCCAUAAUUCUUUCCUUUUCAAGAAGUUUCAAGAACAUAAAAUUGAGAGGAAAAAGAAAGAAGGCCUACGGCCAAGAAGAGAAAGAGAAAAGAAAAGAAAAAAAAAUUCUUGGAGUUAAAUCCUUGGUUCAAAAAUUCAUUUCUUGUGGGAUUAUUACUAAGUGCAAGAUUCUCUACAACUUGGUACAAUUAUUUUGGCAAGAAACUAUCUUUGGUAGCAAGGAGAAUUUGUUGGUAAAAAGAUUCUGGACGAGAUUGGAAUCGAAGCCAAGCGAGCGUAAGGCGCAAUCGAGGUACAGACGCACCUGAAGAUACGCCGCCAGUCUAGGGCUCAGAUUCUGCUAUUUUGAAGAGCUCC